rnacentral:rRNA from 1 species
UACGUAGGUGGCAAGCGUUAAUCGGAAUUACUGGCGUAAAGCGUGCGCAGGCGGUUCGCUAAGACCGAUGUGAAAUCCCCGGGCUUAACCUGGGAACUGCAUUGGUGACUGGCGGGCUAGAGUAUGGCAGAGGGGGUAGGUAAUUCCACGUGUAGCAGUGAAAUGCGUAGAGAUGUGGAGGAAUACCGAUGGCGAAGGCAGCCCCCUGGGCCAAUACUGACGCUCAUGCACGAAAGCGUGGGGAGCAAACAGG